rnacentral:rRNA from 1 species
AUAGAUGAGUAUGCGUCCUAUUAGUUUGUUGGUAAGGUAACGGCUUACCAAGACUUCGAUAGGUAGGGGUCCUGAGAGGGAGAUCCCCCACACUGGUACUGAGACACGGACCAGACUCCUACGGGAGGCAGCAGUGAGGAAUAUUGGACAAUGGAGGCAACUCUGAUCCAGCCAUGCCGCGUGCAGGAAGACUGCCCUAUGGGUUGUAAACUGCUUUUAUAGAGGAAGAAACCUCCCUUCGUGAAGGGAAUUGACGGUACUCUACGAAUAAGGAUCGGCUAACUCCGUGCCAGCAGCCGCGGUAAUACGGAGGAUCCAAGCGUUAUCCGGAAUCAUUGGGUUUAAAGGGUCCGUAGGCGGACUAAUAAGUCAGUGGUGAAAGUCUGCAGCUCAACUGUAGAAUUGCCAUUGAUACUGUUAGUCUUGAGUCAUUAUGAAGUGGUUAGAAUGAGUGGUGUAGCGGUGAAAUGCAUAGAUAUCACUCAGAAUACCGAUUGCGAAGGCAGAUCACUAAUAAUGUACUGACGCUGAUGGACGAAAGCGUAGGUAGCGAACAGGAUUAGAUACCCUGGUAGUCUACGCCGUAAACGAUGGUUACUAGCUGUUUGGUCGAUUGAGACUGAGUGGCUAAGCGAAAGUGAUAAGUAACCCACCUGGGGAGUACGUUCGCAAGAAUGAAACUCAAAGGAAUUGACGGGGGCCCGCACAAGCGGUGGAGCAUGUGGUUUAAUUCGAUGAUACGCGAGGAACCUUACCAGGGCUUAAAUGUAGUCUGACAGAUUUGGAAACAGAUUUUUCUUCGGACAGAUUACAAGGUGCUGCAUGGUUGUCGUCAGCUCGUGCCGUGAGGUGUCAGGUUAAGUCCUAUAACGAGCGCAACCCCUGUGGUUAGUUGCCAGCGAGUCAAGUCGGGAACUCUAGCCAGACUGCCGGUGCAAACCGUGAGGAAGGUGGGGAUGACGUCAAAUCAUCACGGCCCUUACGUCCUGGGCCACACACGUGCUACAAUGGUAGGGACAGAGAGCAGCCACUUCGCGAGAAGGAGCGAAUCUUCAAACCCUAUCACAGUUCGGAUCGCAGUCUGCAACUCGACUGCGUGAAGCUGGAAUCGCUAGUAAUCGGAUAUCAGCCAUGAUCCGGUGAAUACGUUCCCGGGCCUUGUACACACCGCCCGUCAAGCCAUGGAAGCUGGGGGUACCUGAAGUCCGUUA